GCAUGCUUAUUGUUUGAUCUGUUUAAAUAAACUGUUUAAUACAAUUUAAAUGUACGACAAUGUGAUACUUUGAUCAACAGUGGCCAUGGCCAUGACACUCAGCUUUGAUACUGAAGCUAAAGAAACCGUAAGAUGCUAAUUUUCAAGUGUACGAAAAUUAUAGAUGGCGCGGAUGUUUGCAUCUAAAUAUUAAAGGUACAUUGGUAUAUAUAUACAUAUAAAGAACAGUAUUAUGUAUUCACUUACCUUACCAUUGCCGCGUACUAUAGUGUUUAUUGAUCAAAUGGUGUGUAAUCAGUUUGGUAUUCUAAGGAAAUUUCAUGACAUAGAACAAGGAUACAAUAACUGGACAUUCACUGUGGCAAAACAUAACUCUUUUACUAAUAACUCCAUGUUUCAUCUAUUAAAAAGACGAUGACUGAUCCUUCUCAUUACUAUUAAUUCCUAUGAGAUCAGAGGAACAUAAGGCUAUCUUAAUAUGUACCAAAAACACGGUCUAUUGGAAACCAUAAACAAAUGAAUAAACUGUAUAAAACAGACCAUGUAAAAGUGAAUUAUUAGAAAUAUUGUGUAAAGAGACCAGGUAUAUAAAUGUAAUAAAAAUUCAAGAAUGGACAUAGAAUAUUUCAUGUCAAUAUAUUAUUGUUUCAUAAAAAAUAAAUAAAUUUUGUAACAGAAAAAUAACAAUAUAAAUUAAGUUGUAAAGUACUCACAGUGUAUUGUUGAAGUUUAAAAUUACAUAAUUUAAAAUACUAGGAAUACACUUCUAAUGUAUGAAAAUUAAAUUUUCAAAACGAAUUAUAUAACAAUAAAAAUUAUUGCUAAUGUUCAAUACUACUAAAAUAUUUCCUAAGUUUAGAAAAUUUAUUAGAAUAAAAAAGAUAUAGCACAUAUUACUUGUGUACACGAACUUCACAACAUACAAACACAUCAAAUAUGCAUAUCUUAUUGCCAAUGUAUCAUGUGGAUAUGUUGUAAAAUAGACUUAUCAAGAGUUAUUGGAAAAACAAAAUAUUGUUGAAACAUAAUAUGGAUAUGUUACAAUAUAGUAUAGAUGAAUAUGGACCACAGUAUGAAAAAUAAUAUAGAUAUGUAACAUAUUGCCAAAUUAUAAUUUCGAUGUGUUAUAAAAUACCAUUGUUGGAUAUGAAACAGACAACUGUUAAAAAUUAAUAUGGAUAUCAUACAAGACUUGUUUAAAUAUUAUGGAUAUGUAAUAAUGUAUUGCCAAAACAUUAUCCGGAUAUGUUGCAACACAGUAUUGUUCAGUAUGCAACAGAUUAUGGAAAAUAAUAUUUAUAUGUGAUAAUACAGUGCUAACAUAUUAUAUUCAUAUGGUGGACGAUAAAGUGCCUGU